CGGGGAAUAUUGGACAAUGGGCGCAAGCCUGAUCCAGCAAUGCCGCGUGAGUGAUGAAGGCCUUCGGGUUGUAAAGCUCUUUCGCACGCGACGAUGAUGACGGUAGCGUGAGAAGAAGCCCCGGCUAACUUCGUGCCAGCAGCCGCGGUAAUACGAAGGGGGCUAGCGUUGUUCGGAAUUACUGGGCGUAAAGGGCGCGUAGGCGGUGUGUCAAGUCAGGCGUGAAAGCCCCGGGCUCAACCUGGGAACAGCGCUUGAGACUGGCACGCUCGAGUUCGGGAGAGGAUGGUGGAAUUCCCAGUGUAGAGGUGAAAUUCGCAGAUAUUGGGAAGAACACCGAUGGCGAAGGCAGCCAUCUGGACCGACACUGACGCUGAGGCGCGAAAGCGUGGGGAGCAAACAGGAUUAGAUACCCUGGUAGUCCACGCCGUAAACGAUGAGUGCUAGACGUCGGGGCCCUUAGGGCUUCGGUGUCGCAGCUAACGCAUUAAGCACUCCGCCUGGGGAGUACGGCCGCAAGGUUAAAACUUAAAGGAAUUGACGGGGUCAUAGCUGUUUCCU
rnacentral:rRNA from 1 species